rnacentral:lncRNA from 1 species
AAGCAAUUUGCUCAUAGCCAUAGCUUUCUUGUGAAAGUAGGAUAUUAACCCAGGUGUCUUGGUGCUGGAGAACAGAACUGGCCAGAGUCCAUCCUGUCUCCCACCGGCAUCCCAUUACGAAAUGAACACAGAAAAGGCAGGUCUGCAAUGCCAACAUCUAGUAUCUAUCCCAAAGACCAGGGAGAAAGGAAGGAAAGAUUCUGGUUCUGUCCUCUUCCCCAAGGCAAGGCUGGCUGCCCUACCAACAGAGGCAAAGAGAAGAGUGUGCAAGGCUGGCUGCCCUCCCAACAGAGGCAAAGAGGAGUGUGUGUUGAAAUAUCCAUUGAAUCCCUGAGACAACUGGAUCCUGGCCCAUUGAAUCAUAAACUCAGCAGAAUCUCACAUCAUAACCCCAAAUGACCUGUUACUCACCAUGUGGCCCAGCUGUCUUCAAACUCACCAGCCUCCUGCCUUAGCCUUCUAAAUGCUUGGAUUACAGGCAUGACCCACCAUAACUGGCUUUGUUUUAGUUUCAGAGAAGAUGAAACUGAUGUGCGUCAAAAAGUUAUGGAGGCUGGGAAGACCUAGAAUGUGGCAUCACUAUUUGGAAACCAUGCCGAUUACCGACCGAGCUCUCAAUGGAAAAAUGCAGUCGGCGUGAACCACGCACGAACACAGCAGAGAAAGAAGAAAACACACACCACGAGGAACCCUAAUAGGACAAUACAUUAUAAGUCACAGUGCUACGGAGAAACCCAGUAGCCACAUGGAAGCAGAGACCAUGCAUAUGCAUCUACUCCGCAGCUCUGUGAAUGUCAGCAGCUCCCACGGACUGGAGAUCCCGUGAGAUCCCGUGAGAUCUCACCCAUAGCCUCAUGGUACAUCCACUUGGUGUGCUGGGAGAGUCAGGAUGAGGACCUGAGAAGAACAGCAGCUUGAACCUGACUUCAUUUAACAGCCCACUGCCCUCUUGCCAAGAACCCAUCACAGACCUUCCCAGAAGAGAGGGAUGAGCCUCACCUAUGAAUAAGUCCUCAGAAACUCAAAUUUGAUUCUAAUGGAUUGUUUUCUCAGAAAGACUGAGCAUGUCCCCCCACAUCUCUGUCAUUUCCCACAGUAGUAACCUCUGCAGAUGCCACAUAGAAAACAAAACAAAACAAAAAAACAUGAGGUUGGUGGGCAGAUAGGCAGGGUAUAAACAAACAGCCUUGUAACCCAGAAGCUGUGUGAUAUACAGUAAACUUCACAACACUGAAAAGAUGUCCUAUCUGUUAAAAUGGGGUAAUAACAACUACCCGAAUGUUUAGGAAUAGAACUUCAAUAAAUGAUACAUUUUAUAGUACAGCAGACCAUCCUGUAAAGGUUUCAUCCUUCACUGUGGUGAUAAAUAUCCCAAACCACAUUGAAAAGCAUUGCAUCUACAUUUAUCUACACUGUAACUGUACUGUAAAUCAUGGGGGAGGGGAGAAUCAUAAAAACACCACCUGUCACCGUGUCAUUAAAGCAAGUUGGAAGUGAUACUUACAGAAACACAGCAAGAGCACCCCCAGUCACACAGUUCAAUCUCUUAGCAAGCGUUUUCUUUCUAGCCCAGUGGUUCUCAGUUUGGAAUUUUUGGCACUGCCUAGAGAUAGUUUUGUUGUUAAAACUGAGAAAAGAGCCGGGCGUGGUGGCACACGCCUUUAAUCCCAGCACUCAGGAGGCAGAGGCAGG